rnacentral:sRNA from 1 species
UGCCCAGUGGCCUUGGGAGCUGAGGAAGCAGUAGGGGAGAGGGAGGAGCGGGUGCCACCUUGGCACUGUCCUGAGUUUCAGCGGGAGUCGGCCAGCCCUCUGCUUCACUGUCAUAGGCAGUGGUCACCAUGUGGGAAGGGGCAAAAAGAAGCCGAAGCUCAGAGAGGAACAAUGGAUCUGUGUGUGAUUGAUCUACCCAUGGCCACUCGCUCUGGUGGGACCCUCGUGCUUGUGGGGCUGGGCUCUGAGAUGACCACCGUACCCCUACUGCAUGCAGCCGUCCGGGAGGUGGAUAUCAAGGGUGUGUUUCGAUACUGCAACACGUGGCCAGUGGCGAUUUCGAUGCUUGCGUCCAAGUCUGUGAACGUAAAACCCCUCGUCACCCAUAGGUUUCCUCUGGAGAAAGCUCUGGAGGCCUUUGAAACAUUUAAAAAGGGAUUGGGGUUGAAAAUCAUGAUCAAGUGUGACCCCAGUGACCAGAAUCCCUGAUGUUAAUGGGCUCUGCCCUCAUCCCCACAGUCUCGGGAUCUCAGGGCACAAUGGCUGGACACGGGUGGGCUCUGAUGCAGAACUUUCUCUUUUGAAUGUUAAGAAUAACUAAUACAAUUCAUUGUGAACAGAAGUCCUUAUGCAGAGGAAUUGGUGUGCCUUAAAGAUACAAUCUGGGAUAGUUUGGGGGAACUUGUAGCCAGAAUGCCCUGUUCAUGCUGAGCAAAGUUCAGCAAGUAGAGCAGAGUUUGGCAGGCAGGUGCCAGGAACUCCCCUUCUUCCUGGAGUGCCUUCAUUGAGGAAGGAAAUCUGGCCCUUGGGUUUCCUGGUUCCACUGCUACUGACCCAGAGGGGAAUAAGAGCUGAGUUAUGAAA